GUAUAUCUGGCUACAACUUCUGUUACCUUAUUCAUCUCCAAGGUUCCUUCAGCUAUUGUGACUGGCUAGACAAGUGUCCGCUUCAUUCACCAGCAUUUCUUGUGUGUCAUUCCCAAAGUUACGUGCUUAGUGGAAGAAAGUGACCAUCUGAGUCAGAAGGAAUAUACUGAUUUUCAGUCAAGGGUAUUGCUCUCUUUCAUUGGAGCCUCAAUCUCCAUCUUCAACUCUGA
ensembl:misc_RNA 7SK 7SK RNA